rnacentral:rRNA from 1 species
UACGUAGGGGGCAAGCGUUGUCCGGAUUUAUUGGGCGUAAAGAGCGUGUAGGCGGCCAUACAGGUCAGCUGUGAAAACUCGAGGCUCAACCUCGAGACGUCGGUUGAAACCGUAUGGCUAGAGUCCGGAAGAGGCGAGUGGAAUUCCUGGUGUAGCGGUGGAAUGCGCAGAUAUCAGGAGGAACACCAAUAGCGAAGGCAGCUCGCUGGGACGUUACUGACACUGAGGCGCGAAAGCGUGGGGAGCAAACAGG